GGGGGGCCCUCAUCCUCCAGCUGCGGGAUCAGAAGGUGACACUGAAGGCGGACAGCGCGCAGGAGCAGGAGAUGUGGCGUGGCUUCAUCCUGACCAUGGCCAAGCUGGAGCUGCCCACAGACCUGGAGCUGCUGCCGGGGCACAUCUUCCAGAUGGAGGAGGCGCUGCGCAGGGAGAGGGAGAACCGCUGCGGGGCGCAGAGAGGGGGGCAGCAGCAGCACGCUCAGCUGCUUCUUCGCCGUGUCGCGCGCGGAGGCCGAGCAGCUGCUGGAGCGCAACGCGGGGGGGGGGAACGUCGUGCUGCGACCCGGCGGGCACAGCCACGGCCGCGGCUUCUCCGUCAGCACCCGGCAGCUGCGGAACGGCGCCGCCGUGCUGAAGCACUACAGGGUGGUCGGCGCGGGCGAUGGGUUCCUCGUUGACGUCGACGCACCGCAUUACUGCUCCUCGCUGGAUGAGGUGGUGCAGUACUUCGUGGUACAGCUGUGGGGGCACUCCAAAUAAAGCUGCCCAUCCCACCGC
rnacentral:lncRNA from 7 species